GAUGAACGCUGGCGGCGUGCCUAAUACAUGCAAGUCGAACGCAUUGUGGUUGAAAUGAUAUGAAGAACUUGUUCAGAUUUGAUUUUCAACAUUGCAAUGAGUGGCGAACGGGUGAGUAACACGUGGGAAACCUACCUCUUAGCAGGGGAUAACAUUUGGAAACAAAUGCUAAUACCGUAUAAUAAUUAAAACCGCAUGGUUUUAGUUUAAAAGAUGGUCUUGCUAUCACUAAGAGAUGGUCCCGCGGUGUAUUAGUUAGUUGGUGAGGUAAUGGCUCACCAAGACAAUGAUACAUAGCCGAGUUGAGAGACUGACCGGCCACAAUGGGACUGAGACACGGCCCAUACUCCUACGGGAGGCAGCAGUAGGGAAUCUUCCACAAUGGACGAAAGUCUGAUGGAGCAACGCCGCGUGUGUGAUGAAGGGUUUCGGCUCGUAAAACACAGUUGUAAGAGAAGAAUGACAUUGAGAGUAACUGUUCAAUGUGUGACGGUAU
rnacentral:rRNA from 1 species